UUUAAUUUUGUGUGCAUAUGAAAAUCUGAAAAAUAUUUAUAAAAAAUAAAAGAGUACUUAUUCAGGAAAAUGUUCAUAAAUGCUAUAGUAGAGAGUACUGGAAAGGAAACAUUAAUAAAAAUUAUUAAUAUGUAUAGUAGAAAUUAAAAUUUGUACCUUGUGUAUCAGGGAGAAUCUAUCUAUGCUAAUAAUGGUAGGCAUCUCGAAACAAUGAUAUCUAAUUUUAUAUAAAAGUUAUUGUUUAAUAAAUAUUCUUAAUAUAAGAUUAAAGGUGAAAUACCAUACGAGCUUUGUGAUAUCUGGUUUCUUUUGAAAUGAAUUUAAUUCAGGCUUUAAAGAAAAAAAAUUUAAAUGCUAAGAGCAGGAGGGGAUAGCUUCUUGUUCUAUAAAGUUGAUAUAAUAAUUAUUAUUUUGUAUUCUUUCUUUCUAGGCUUAGAAGUAGCCACGAAAUUAAAGUGUUUUAACUAAAAUAGAAAUAUAAAGUAUUUGUUAGUAUUUUAUAGAAUUAAAAGGAUAUUUUUAUAAGCGGCGAAUGAGAAGAGAAAAUGAUUCUAUUAGUAUAUUAUAUUUAUGUAAAAGGGGUAAAGUUAAUUGAAAUUUUAAAUUAUAAUAAAUUGGUGUUAAUUAUAAGGAACUCGGCAAAUAUUUUCCUUGCCUGUUUAUCAAAAACAUGUCCGUUAGUAAAGAUUUUAACGGUCAAGCCUGCUCACUGACUGGUAAGGUUAAAGAGCCGCGGUAUAUUGACCGUGCAAAGGUAGCAUAAUCAUUAGUUCUUUAAUUGAGAACUGGUAUGAAUGGUUCGACAAAGGAAAAGCUGUCUAUAUAUUAAAUAUAAAACUUAACUUUUGAGUGAAAAGGCUUAAAUUUCUCAAGGGGACGAUAAGACCCUAUAAAGCUUUAUAUUUUGUUUAUAAUUAGUUAAAUUAAUGUAUUAAAAACUAGAAUUAUAAUUGAUUUAUUUUGUUGGGGCGACAGAGGUAAAAUUUUAAUUAACUGCUGUAAAUAAAAUACAGCAAUGGCUGUAGCAGUUUAAAAGAUCCUUAUUAAAGAUUUAAAGAUCAAGUUACUUUAGGGAUAACAGCGUAAUUUCUUUUGAGAGUCCAUAUCGAAAAAGAAGAUUGCGACCUCGAUGUUGAAUUAAGAUUUCUUUAUUGUGCAGCCGCAAUAAAAGAAGGUCUGUUCGACCUUUAAAUUCUUACAUGAUUUGAGUUCAGACCGGCGUGAGCCAGGUCGGUUUCUAUCUCUUGAGCAAUGUAAAUUGUUAUCUUAGUACGAAAGGAUUUGGUAACUUAAAUUAUUUAGAAGAUGGAAU
rnacentral:rRNA from 1 species